CCCGCCGGCGACCGGCGCACGGGUGAGUAACACGUAUGAAACCUGCCCGUAGCAGGGGGAUAAGCGGAAGAAAUUCCGUCUAAUACCGCGUAACAACCCGAGGAGGCAUCUCCUCGGGUUUAAAGGAAGCGAUUCCGGCUACGGAUGGUCAUGCGUCGCAUUAGCUAGUUGGCGGGGUAACAGCCCACCAAGGCGACGAUGCGUAGGGGUUCUGAGAGGAAGGUCCCCCACACUGGUACUGAGACACGGACCAGACUCCUACGGAAGGCAGCAG
rnacentral:rRNA from 1 species